UUGGCCAAAAGUAAAUCAUCAAAACCUAAACUACGUUCUAAACUCUUCAGCCGCCAAUCCUACCCCUACGUCCCCUUCCCCACUUUUUCAAUUCUUACUUCAACUAUGGAUAAACUAAAAUAUGCGAGAACGACAUAGAAGAAGAGUGAGAGAGAACCUCAUAGAGUGAGUGAAAGUUUGAAGAUUUUGAAGAGGAGCCAUAGUUCGUGAACUGUAACAGCAAAGCAACAUUACAAAUUUGGGAUCAAGAUCCUUUAAGAAGUUUACGAAGUCUACAGGCAAAUUUGACAAAUUAAGACUAAAGCUAAAGUGCAGUUAAGGCGGUGCUAUGUUGGGAAGCGAGGAAGGAGAAGACGGUGCUACUUUGUGUAGAUGGUGUUGUAGAAGAAUUAUAAGUAAUUUGUGGAGUGUAAUUUUUUUUAAUUCUUAGCUACAUUGUAACAAUUCUUAUGUAUAUCUUUUGGAAUCAAAAAUAUUUGAAAUUUUAGCUGCAGGAUGAAAAUUCUGUGACCAAUUAUUUUGUGGCAAAUUUUUCGAUUAUAGCAAUAAAAAUUUAGAAUUCGAGGCUA